UAGGGAAUCUUCCGCAAUGGACGAAAGUCUGACGGAGCAACGCCGCGUGAGUGAAGAAGGACUUCGGUUCGUAAAACUCUGUUGUUAGGGAAGAAAAAAUGUAUAGUAACUAUAUACAAAAGAGACGGUACCUAACCAGAAAGCCACGGCUAACUACGUGCCAGCAGCCGCGGUAAUACGUAGGUGGCAAGCGUUGUCCGGAAUUAUUGGGCGUAAAGCGCGCGCAGGUGGUUUAGAAAGUCUGAUGUGAAAGCCCACGGCUCAACCGUGGAGGGUCAUUGGAAACUAAUAAACUUGAGUGCAGGAGAGAAAAGUGGAAUUCCUAGUGUAGCGGUGAAAUGCGUAGAGAUUAGGAGGAACACCGGUGGCGAAAGCGGCUUUUUGGCCUGCAACUGACACUGAGGCGCGAAAGCGUGGGGAGCAAACAGG
rnacentral:rRNA from 1 species